UACACGCUGUGACUAGCAUAUCAAUAAGCGGAGGAAAAGAAACUAACAAGGAUUCCCUCAGUAACGGCGAGUGAAGCGGGAAGAGCUCAAAUUUGAAAUCUUGAAAGGUCACCUUUCACGAAUUGUAGUUUAAAGAAGUGUUUUCUGUUACGAUCGUAAUAUAAGUUCUUUGGAAUAGGACAUCACAGAGGGUGAGAAUCCCGUCUAUGAUUGCGAUUUGUAGCUUUGUGAUACACUUUCAAAGAGUCGGGUUGUUUGGGAAUGCAGCCCAAAACGGGAGGUAAAUUUCUUCUAAGGCUAAAUAUUGGCGAGAGACCGAUAGCGAACAAGUACCGUGAGGGAAAGAUGAAAAGAACUUUGAAAAGAGAGUUAAAUAGUACGUGAAAUUGUCAAAAGGGAAGCGUUUAACACCAGUGUUGUUUUCUGAAAAUCAACCUCUGUUAGCUUUAUGCAUGUUUGUUUAGACCUAAUCAGCUAUCUUUCAUGUUCUAUUGUUUGCAGUGGUGCACUUUUCAGUUUACAGGUCAACAUCAGUUUUUUUUACCGUAAAAAAGUUAAAGAAAGGUAGCUCAUGGCUCCGGUCGUGAGUGUUAUAGUCUUUUUCCUAUGCGGUAGGAGAGACUGAGGUCUGCAGUGUAGGCUAUUUGGCUAGAUACUCAGGUGCUAUGUGAUACCAUUUCAUAAACAACUUGUUGAUUAUGUUUUGUCUAUUGCAUACUCGCUUGUACUAUCAUACCUACGCUUAGGAUGUUGAGUAGCGACAUACGCAC
rnacentral:rRNA from 1 species